rnacentral:rRNA from 1 species
GACGAACGCUGGCGGCGUGCCUAAUACAUGCAAGUAGAACGCUGAAGGAGGAGCUUGCUUCUCUGGAUGAGUUGCGAACGGGUGAGUAACGCGUAGGUAACCUGCCUGGUAGCGGGGGAUAACUAUUGGAAACGAUAGCUAAUACCGCAUAAGAGUAGAUGUUGCAUGACAUUUGCUUAAAAGGUGCAAUUGCAUCACUACCAGAUGGCCCUGCGUUGUAUUAGCUAGUUGGUGGGGUAACGGCUCACCAAGGCGACGAUACAUAGCCGACCUGAGAGGGUGAGCGGCCACACUGGGACUGAGACACGGCCCAGACUCCUUCGGGAGGGAGCAGUAGGGAAACUUCGGAAAUGGACGGAAGUCUGACCGAGCAACGCCGCGGGAGUGAAGAAGGGUUUCGGAUCGGAAAGCUCUGUUGUAAGAGAAGAACGAGUGUGAGAGUGGAAAGUUCACACUGUGACGGUAGCUUACCAGAAAGGGACGGCUAACUACGUG